rnacentral:rRNA from 1 species
UACGUAGGGGGCAAGCGUUGUCCGGAAUCAUUGGGCGUAAAGCGCGUGUAGGCGGCUGGGUAAGUCCGCUCUGAAAGCCCGGGGCUCAACCCCGGGAGGCGGGUGGAUACUGCUCAGCUCGAGUCCGGAAGAGGAGUGUGGAAUUCCCCCAAGUAGAGGUGAAAUUCGUAGAUAUGGGGAGGAACACCGGUGGCGAAGGCGGCCACCUGGACGGUAACUGACGCUGAGACGCGAAAGCGUGGGGGAGCAAAACAGG